CUACGGGUCGCAGCAGUGAGGAAUCUUGGACAAUGGGCGAAAGCCUGAUCCAGCGACGCCGCGUGGGUGAAGAAGGCCUUCGGGUUGUAAAGCCCUGUCAGAGGGGACGAAGUUCUGACGGUACCCUCAGAGGAAGCACUGGCUAACUCCGUGCCAGCAGCCGCGGUAAUACGGAGAGUGCAAGCGUUGCUCGGAAUUACUGGGCGUAAAGGGCACGUAGGCGGCCUUGUGUGUUGGGUGUGAAAUCCCGCGGCUCAACCGCGGAACUGCAUCCAAAACUGCAAGGCUAGAGUACGGAAGAGGAAGGCGGAAUUCCCAGUGUAGGGGUGAAAUCCGUAGAUAUUGGGAAGAACACCAGUGGCGAAGGCGGCCUUCUGGGACGAUACUGACGCUGAUGUGCGAAAGCGUGGGGAGCAAACAGGAUUAGAUACCCCGGUAGUC
rnacentral:rRNA from 1 species